GACGAACGCUGGCGGCGUGCUUAACACAUGCAAGUCGAACGGAAAGGCCCUGCUUUGGUGGGGUGCUCGAGUGGCGAACGGGUGAGUAACACGUGAGUAACCUGCCCUUGACUUUGGGAUAACUUCAGGAAACUGUGGCUAAUACCUGAUAGGAGCUCCUGCUGCAUGGUGGGGGUUGGAAAGUUUCGGCGGUUGGGGAUGGACUCGCGGCUUAUCAGCUUGUUGGUGGGGUAGUGGCUUACCAAGGCUUUGACGGGUAGCCGGCCUGAGAGGGUGACCGGCCACAUUGGGACUGAGAUACGGCCCAGACUCCUACGGGAGGCAGCAGUGGGGAAUAUUGCACAAUGGGCGGAAGCCUGAUGCAGCAACGCCGCGUGCGGGAUGACGGCCUUCGGGUUGUAAACCGCUUUCGCCUGUGACGAAGCGUGAGUGACGGUAAUGGGUAAAGAAGCACCGGCUAACUACGUG
rnacentral:rRNA from 1 species